rnacentral:rRNA from 1 species
GACGAACGCUGGCGGCGUGCUUAACACAUGCAAGUCGAACGGAAAGGCCCUGCUUUUGUGGGGUGCUCGAGUGGCGAACGGGUGAGUAACACGUGAGUAACCUGCCCUUGACUUUGGGAUAACUUCAGGAAACUGGGGCUAAUACCGGAUAGGAGCUCCUGCUGCAUGGUGGGGGUUGGAAAGUUUCGGCGGUUGGGGAUGGACUCGCGGGUUAUCAGCUUGUUGGUGGGGUAGUGGCUUACCAAGGGUUUGACGGGUAGCCGGCCUGAGAGGGUGACCGGCCACAUUGGGACUGAGAGACGGCCCAGACUCCUAUGGGAGGCAGCAGUGGGGAAUAUUGCACAAUGGGCGGAAGCCUGAGGCAGCAACGCCGCGUGCGGGAUGACGGCCUUCGGGUUGUAAACCGCUUUCGCCUGUGACGAAGCGUGAGUGACGGUAAUGGGUAAAGAAGCACCGGCUAACUACGUG